rnacentral:misc_RNA from 1 species
ACUGGGUUAGCCUCCGGGCGCAACUCCACCCUUUGUAACCGCGGCCCGGAUUCGGCGCCUGGCGGAGGGCACCCCCCGCUCGCGGGGGCCUCCGCCUGCCGGAAUCAGCCAACCMUGCCUGGAAAAUCGAAGUCUGAGAACGAGUUAAAUCGAACAAAACUUUCAA